UACGGAGGAUGCGAGCGUUAUCCGGAUUUAUUGGGUUUAAAGGGUGCGUAGGCGGAAUAUCAAGUCAGCGGUAAAAACUCGGGGCUCAACCCCGUCGUGCCGUUGAAACUGAUGUUCUUGAGUGGGCGAGAAGUAUGCGGAAUGCGUGGUGUAGCGGUGAAAUGCAUAGAUAUCACGCAGAACUCCGAUUGCGAAGGCAGCAUACCGGCGCCCAACUGACGCUGAAGCACGAAAGCGUGGGUAUCGAACAGG
rnacentral:rRNA from 1 species